UUCAGACCAUGGUAUAGGAACAUUACAGGUAAAAUUGCAGAUCAGGUGGUCUUGAAAGGGGACAACUUUACUUAUUUUAACAAUAUUUCAGUAAAAUAUAAUAAAAUAUGUUUAAAAAAAUAUUCAUUGCUAUAAGAUUUGCUCCCUUAAGAUUCGAGCUUAGAUCAUUUUAUAUCAAUUAAAAACAAAAUAAAAGAGCUAAAGAAUGUCCAAUGAUCUAA
rnacentral:lncRNA from 1 species